rnacentral:rRNA from 1 species
UACGUAGGGUGCAAGCGUUAAUCGGAAUUACUGGGCGUAAAGUGUGCGCAGGCGGCAGAGCGAGUCGAGUGUGAAAGCCCCGAGCUUAACUUGGGAAUUGCGCUCGAAACUACUUUGCUGGAGUGUGGCAGAGGAAGGUGGAAUUCCAGGUGUAGCGGUGAAAUGCGUAGAGAUCUGGAGGAACACCGAUGGCGAAGGCA